GAUGAACGCUGGCGGCGUGCUUAACACAUGCAAGUCGAGCGAUGAAGUUUCCUUCGGGAAACGGAUUAGCGGCGGACGGGUGAGUAACACGUGGAUAACCUGCCUCAUAGAGUGGAAUAGCCUUCCGAAAGGAAGAUUAAUACCGCAUAAUGUUGAAAGAUGGCAUCGUCAUUCAACCAAAGGAGCAAUCCGCUAUGAGAUGGACCCGCGGCGCAUUAGCUAGUUGGUGGGGUAACGGCCUACCAAGGCGACGAUGCAUAGCCGACCUGAGAGGGUGAUCGGCCACAUUGGGACUGAGACACGGCCCAGACUCCUACGGGAGGCAGCAGUGGGGAAUAUUGCACAAUGGGGGAAACCCUGAUGCAGCAACGCCACGUGAGUGAUGAAGGUUUUCGGAUCGUAAAGCUCUGUCUUUGGGGAAGAUAAUGACGGUACCCAAGGAGGAAGCCACGGCUAACUACGUGCCAGCAGCCGCAGUAACAC
rnacentral:rRNA from 1 species